UAACAUGAUAAAAAUAUCAUUCCGAUGUCAGUGUACGGUCGGUGCCCCAACUUAAGUAUCCACGUCGCCAUACUAAUUGUAUAGAAAAGUGGAUAGAGUUAGACCAAGAAAAGUCUGCAGAGAUUUUGACAGCACACGCAGUGCCAAUGUUAUUUGUGCCAGUGUCAAAAUCUCUGCAGACUUUUCUUGGUCUAACUCUACUUAUGUUAGGGAACCAACAUUACCUUUUAAUUAGCCUGUAAACUGCAACUGAGAAGCUUCGUGCGCGUUUGGUUUGCCAGUCUUUUCAGUCUUUGUUCCUCCUCGAGUCGCAAUAGAAGGACUGACGAAAUUUGCUUACUUAUUUCGAGUAAGAAUUUAAAUAUCUAACUAAUCUAAAUUCUAAAGAGAAUAGAUUGUAUAGGGGACGUGCAUGAACUAUAGGGGGCAGCACAGGAGCCGUCAGAUCUUUGGCGCGAAGCGUAGAUGUCUAGUUUAUGAUUCCGAUGUAGCCCACAAGAUGGCAGAACCUACUAUGCACAAGAAAACGUACCUACGAGAACGGUUGAAGGUAGCACUUGCUUUGGCAAUGUACAUGUGCACAUAUGUUUCCGAUUCAGGCCACAAGAUGGCAGGCCCUCCAACGCGCACGGUCCCUAUAAG